rnacentral:tRNA from 1 species
GGGGAUUUAGCUCAGCAGUAGAGCGCUUGCCUAGCAAGCGAAAGGCCCUGGGUUCGGUCCCCAGCUCCG